rnacentral:lncRNA from 1 species
CAGAAACAGAGAAUUCAGGAAGCUUUUGAUCUUUUUGAUACUGACUGACCUGAACCUACAGACAUCAAAAGACUAAAGGUGGGAAUGUGGGCCCUAGGCCUCGAACCCAAGAAAGAAGAAACCCAGAAAAUGAUAAAUGACGUUGAUAAGGAAGGGGCAGGGAAAUGAGCUUUAGUAACUUCUUGGCAACGAUGACUCAGGAAAUGUUCGGGAAAAGCACCGAAGAAGAAAUCCUGAAGGUUCUCAAGCUCUUUGAUGACAAUGAGACCGGGAAAAUAUUAUUCAAAAAUCUGAAGUGUGUGGCCAAGGGGUUGAGGGAGAGAUUUACUGAUGAG